rnacentral:snRNA from 1 species
UGCUCACUUCGGCAGCACAUAUACUAAAACUGGAAUGAUACAGAGAAGAUUAGCAUGGCCCCUGAGCAAGGAUGACUCGUGAAGCAGUCCAUCUUUUU